rnacentral:rRNA from 1 species
CCUACGGGUGGCAGCAGUGGGGAAUAUUGGACAAUGGGGGCAACCCUGAUCCAGCCAUGCCGCGUGUGUGAAGAAGGCCCUCGGGUUGUAAAGCACUUUCAGUGAGGAAGAACGCCUGGUGGUUAAUACCCAUCAGGAAAGACAUCACUCACAGAAGAAGCACCGGCUAACUCCGUGCCAGCAACCGCGGUAAUACGGAGGGUGCGAGCGUUAAUCGGAAUUACUGGGCGUAAAGCGCGCGUAGGUGGCUUGAUAAGCCGGUUGUGAAAGCCCCGGGCUCAACCUGGGAACGGCAUCCGGAACUGUCAAGCUAGAGUGCAGGAGAGGAAGGUAGAAUUCCCGGUGUAGCGGUGAAAUGCGUAGAGAUCGGGAGGAAUACCAGUGGCGAAGGCGGCCUUCUGGACUGACACUGACACUGAGGUGCGAAAGCGUGGGUAGCAAACAGGAUUAGAUACCCUAGUAGUC